rnacentral:rRNA from 1 species
AUUGAACGCUGGCGGCAGGCCUAACACAUGCAAGUCGAGCGGAGCGGCGGACGGGUGAGUAAUGCCUAGGAAUCUGCCUGCUAGUGGGGGAGAGCGACCGGAAACGGGCGCUAGUACAGCAUACUAUCCGAUGAGCCUAGGUCGGCUUGGCUAGUUGGUGGGGUAAAGGCCUACCAAGGCGAGGAUCCGUAACUGGUCUGAGAGGAUUAACAGUCAAACUGGAACUGAGAAACGGUCCAGACGCCUACGGGAGGCAGCAGUGGGGAACAUUGGACAAUGGGGGAAAGCCUGAUCCAGCCACGCCGCGUGUGUUGAGAAGGUCCUUGGAGUGUAAAGCACGUUAAGUUGGGACGCGUUACCAACAGAAUAACCACCGGCUAACUACGUGCCAGCAGCCGCGGUAAUAC